UGUCAAGGUAAAGUAUAUCAUUCUAUAUGCUUUGUUGGUGGCAGUCAAAGGCCUUUCUUUUUGGUUUUAAGUUAUUGACUUUACCAGUAUCUGCACUAGAGGGAGGGGCAGAAGUAUUUGAAUAACUUGUGUUGGAAAAAUGUAGCAUUUCAAGUGCUGUGGCUUUUGAUGUCAUGCUUGUUUCGCAUUCUGAAUGCCUUUGGUUUUGCUCCUUCAUAUGUCCAGUCAAGUGAUCCAG
rnacentral:misc_RNA from 1 species